UUGACACAAGACUAGGCAGUACAAGG
rnacentral:piRNA from 2 species